rnacentral:rRNA from 1 species
GAUGAACGCUGGCGGCGUGCCUAAUACAUGCAAGUCGAGCGAACAGAUGAGGAGCUUGCUCCUCUGACGUUAGCGGCGGACGGGUGAGUAACACGUGGAUAACCUACCUAUAAGACUGGGAUAACUUCGGGAAACCGGAGCUAAUACCGGAUAAUAUUUUGAACCGCAUGGUUCAAUAGUGAAAGACGGUUUUGCUGUCACUUAUAGAUGGAUCCGCGCUGCAUUAGCUAGUUGGUAAGGUAACGGCUUACCAAGGCAACGAUGCGUAGCCGACCUGAGAGGGUGAUCGGCCACACUGGAACUGAGACACGGUCCAGACUCCUACGGGAGGCAGCAGUAGGGAAUCUGCCGCAAUGGGCGAAAGCCUGACGGAGCAACGCCGCGUGAGUGAUGAAGGUCUUCGGAUCGUAAAACUCUGUUAUUAGGGAAGAACAAAUGUGUAAGUAACUAUGCACGUCUUGACGGUACCUAAUCAGAAAGCCACGGCUAACUACGUG